rnacentral:ncRNA from 1 species
GGUUGGGAGUGUGGCUAAUACAGCACUCGAGAGGGAAAUAAGCCCAGUUGAUUUUGUGCAACUUUUCGGCUCCCUACCGACCUUUA